AGUCAUACAUAUUUUAAUUUCUAAGGUGGAUAGAUUUUACUUUUCUAAAUGAAAGGGGAAGUUGAUAACCAAAAUUGACUUUUGAGAAAAAGUAGAUCAGUAGACAAAUAGGACACGAUUAUCAAUAAUAUAGAGAACAAUAUGCACCUGGGCCUGCAACUCUCUGGCCGCGAAGUCCAUCAAGCCGCCUAAGAGUCUUCUCUUAAAUAUAGGUAUUAAAAAGCCAUUCAUAUUUCUGACUACAGAAAAUCAAGUAUGAGAUGGUGUAAAAGACACCUACUCUGAUAUUCAAAAUUCUUCUCUGGUCUAUGGUCCGAAGUCAAAGUUGUGAAACUCAAAACAAGAUGAGAAGGAUGUGAUGUGACUAUCUACUAUAAUGAAUUGACAAGAGUUGGAUGUGUGUUAUGUGUUAUGAGGAUAACCGGAAGUAUACUUAAAACAGUGUCUUACUUUUUUCUACUGAAGUUCCAAAAUGCUUAUGGGGUGAGCGACAGCAUAAAAAUAUGAAAACGAGUUAGGUAAUGGACACAUUAGUAUCUCCCUCCGUCUAAAUCAUUAUGUAUUUUCUAUUUAGUUUUAAUUAUUUAGAACAUUUAUUAUAUGGCCAAUGCUUUGAUAUUUUGGUUUGUAUUUUAAUAUUUGAAAUGUAUGAUUGAAAUUUUUCAUGAUUGUUUUACUUUAUUAUUUGUAAUGUAAUUUAAUGUUGGGGAAAUGAAU